rnacentral:misc_RNA from 1 species
UUUUUUUUUUUUUUCCUUUUUUUGCUAGAAAAACAUUUUCUAAUUAUCAUUUAAUUAGCAUAAUGCUGAACACUUGAUAUCUUUUCAGCUUAAUUGGCUGGAAAAUUUUCCAUUAUAAGAUCCACUAUGAAUAAUUUCAUGUAUACAAUUAUUAAGUAAUCUUUAGACGUCUUAGCUUUUCCUCUAUGAUUUAUAGGGAAAAUCUUUUAUAAAGAAAUCUCUAUUAGUCUCAAAACUUCUUAUAUUGUUGUUGUUGGUUAUAUAUAUAUAUAUAUACAUUCAUAUGUUUAAUUUGCUUCUACCUCUAUGGUCGUGCAUGUAUUAUCAUGAAAAACUGUUCUCAUGUCCUUUGCUAUUGACUUGUAUAUGCUGUAAGUUGGGAUCUUUGCUUUAUUGACAAGGGAACAAUGGAAACAUGUAGCUUGUUUGCAGUCCUUGAAGGUGGAGUAGAAAUGGAGGGGAAAAAAACUACUUGUGUGAAAUAACCUUAGCCAAGGAUCAGAAAUAUGGACAAGGGUUUAUCCUAUAUGGUUGAGUUGAGACUUGAGUAUGUAAUCUUCACUGUAUAACUUCAGAGUGUUCAAUUUUUUUUCUCCCCAUUAUGCAGACGCAGAAGUGCAUCAACCACCACUUAAACCGGCAAGUCUAUUGAUGGGAGAAAUGAAACAAUGAUGCCUUUUUUUUUCUUAAAAAAGUGAAAAGGGGAGUGAUAGAAGUGUAUUUUUUUUUUUUUUCAUUUAUCCAAGAAGUGCUAGUUGUUACUGAUAGAAGGAAAAAGCAAAAUUAGAGAUGAACUUCUGGAAAAUUAUGGUUUCUACUUUCUAGCUCUAAAUUUGAAAAAGGAAUGGCUGUGGGAUGAUUUGAUGAUAUAGAAGGUUGAUACUUUGCUAGUUGGAAAAUGCUGGUUUGAUUUUUGUGGACGUAAUGAAUGUGUGCUUGUUUUGGAUGGAUGCACUCUGGCAAGCUGAUUUGGCAGUUUUGCAUGCAAUUAUGCACCCUUACAUUUGGUGAUUUAAACUUGUUCAGGCUAAUGCACAUUCCAAAAUUUGAACUGUGAACUCAAAAAGAUCUUGUCAAACAAAAGUACCCAUGCACAAAGAUUAAAUGAGCUGGAUCAGAGGCAAUGCAAUAGCUAUCAUAUUUGAGGAGUUGUUGAUUGAAAGAGGAAAAUAUAGAGUAUUAUUGCUUGUGUCAAAAAAGUGAUAAUAAUAACAAUAACAGAAAUAAAACAUUUUUUUUUAUUCAAUGCUGUUAUGAUAAUCAUUAUUUUUUCUUUGCAUCAUAUUAUACUUUCUUCGGGGUUGAUGGAUUAUGCAUGUAGAUAAGGAAUCUUUUAUCCCAAAAAUUACAGCUCAAGGAAUGUUGUUAAAACAUAUUGCAAUGGUUGUUUGUUACUAUAAAUCUGUUUUUAUGAUGAUGUCAUGCUGAUUGAAAUUUGGCAAGCAAACCUCGUGAUGAAUAAUUUUAUGAUGCAGGUUGAUUAUGCAUGCACACCAGAAGAAGUCCA